rnacentral:rRNA from 1 species
GGAGGAAAGCAGGGGAUCGAAAGACCUUGCGCUCUUGGAGCGGCCGAUGCCUGAUUAGCUAGUUGGUGAGGUAAAGGCUUACCAAGGCGACGAUCAGUAGCUGGUCUGAGAGGACGACCAGCCACACUGGGACUGAGACACGGCCCAGACUCCUACGGGAGGCAGCAGUGGGGAAUUUUGGACAAUGGGGGAAACCCUGAUCCAGCCAUGCCGCGUGAGUGAAGAAGGCCUUCGGGUUGUAAAGCUCUUUCAGCCGGAACGAAACGGUCACGGCUAAUACCCGUGACUACUGACGGUACCGGAAGAAGAAGCACCGGCUAACUACGUGCCAGCAGCCGCGGUAAUACGUAGGGUGCAAGCGUUAAUCGGAAUUACUGGGCGUAAAGCGUGCGCAGGCGGUUUUGUAAGUCAGAUGUGAAAUCCCCGGGCUUAACCUGGGAACUGCGUUUGAAACUACAAAGCUAG